UCCUAAAUCCUUAACUUCGUGUCAUGUUCUCUGCCUUCUUUCACAGCAUUCAGUCACCUCUUCUCUUCUCUUGUAUCAGAUCUUCUUCAACUCGUCUUCCUUCUCCUUGGACAAGAAUCUUAUUCAAGAAGCUUGAUGGAGUGUACUAGAGUGAGAGUCUGAGAGAGAGUGGGAGGCCGAUUGAGAGAUUGAGAACGAGAGAGAGAGCUUGGGAGAGGAGGAACAAGGGAGCUCAGCGGAAGGGAAGAGGAAACUACUGAGAACCCACAAACGCUUUUGAUCCCUAAUCUAGGGUCCAGUUCAUCCAAGGGGAAAGAAAAGCUGGUGGAAGCACAGCUAAGGUGGAAGGAGAGAAGAACUUACUGCUUAGUUAAUUAAUUAAUCUUGUAUACAUUUUGUGUUGUGUUUCCCCUUUUCUUUUGUGAUAGGUGAUGUUUAUACUUUUCCUUUUAUGAAGUUAUGUAAAUUUCACUUAUAUGGUUAUAUGUACCUCCAUAAGGAGGAGUGAUUGGGGAUAGUUUAGCAUAGCUAGGGAGUAGUGUGUGUGUGUGUAUAUAUGCAUAUAUUGAUAAUAUAUUUGUGAUAUGAAUGAAUUAGAAUUUACAAAGCA